GCCGGGCAUGGUGGCGCACGCCUGUAAUCCCAGCUACUCAGGAGGCUGAGGCAGGAGAAUUGCUUGAACCCAGGAGGCAGAGGUUGCAGUGAGCUGAGAUCGCGCCACUCCACUCCAGCCUGGGUGACAGAGUAAGAUUUCGUCUCAA
rfam:Homo sapiens chromosome 5, GRCh38 reference primary assembly.